rnacentral:pre_miRNA from 1 species
UUUCUACUCCCUCCGUCUGAAAAUACUUGUCAUCAAAAUGGAUAAAAAUAGAUGUAUCUAAAACUAAAAUAUGUCUAGAUACAUUUCCUUUUAUCCAUUUUGAUGACAAGUAUUUCUGGACGGAGGGAGUAUUUG